AGAUUGCUGUAUUAACUACAUUUUCAGGAGUUAGAUUGUUGUCUUAAAAUAAAUGCAUUUUGAGGAGCUAGAUUGUUGUAUAAACUACAUUUUAAGGAGCACCAUGUACAUUGUUGUAUCAACAACAUUUUUUUGAGCUACCUGUACAUUGUUGUAUCAACUGCAAAAUCAAGAGUUAGACUUCAUUCUAAAGUACAUUUUUAUGCCCCCCUUCGAAGAAGAGGGGGUAUAUUGCUUUGCUCAUGUCGGUCUGUUGGUUGGUCGGUCGGUCUGUCGGUCCGUCCACCAGGUGGUUGUCAGACGAUAACUCAAGAACGCUUGGGCCUAGGAUCAUGAAACUUCAUAGGUAAAUUGAUCAUGACUCGCAGAUGACCCCUAUUGAUUUUGAGGUCACUAGGUCAAAGGUCAAGGUCACAGUGACCAGAAAUAGUAAAAUGGUUUUUGAAUGAUAACUCAAGAACGCAUACGCCUAGGAUCAUGAAACUUCAUGGGUAGAUUGAUCAUGACUUGCAGAUGACCCCUAUUGAUUUUGAGGUCACUAGGUCAAAGGUCAAGGUCACGGUGACCCGAAAUAGUAAAAUGAUUUUCGGAUGAUAACUCAAGAACGCUUUUGCCUAGGAUCAUGACACUUCAUAGGUACAUUGAUCGUGACUUGCAGAUGACCCCUAUUGAUUUCGCAGGUCACUAGGUCAAAGGUCAAGGUCACAGUGACAAAAAACAUAUUCACACAAUGGCUGCCACUACAACGGACAGCCCAUAUGGGGGGCAUGCAUGUUUUACAAACAGCCCUUGUUUAAUAUCUAAUAACAAAAUUAUAAUAAUCUUUAUUUAUUCUCUAUAAUUUCCGGGUGGCAAUACCAACUUCAGCAUAUCCACUCCCAAUCAGGGAAACAUGAAUAAAAAGAUAUACUAAACAAUCAAACAAGUAAAAAUGAUAAGAGUACACGAAUGACGUACACAAAGAGGAGAAGCCGAGGUAUGAGUGUCAGGUCUACAACCACCGCCUUACAGUGGCCAACGUGCACCUACAUCCUACCAGCCAAAUUUUACAUUACAAAAAAUAUCUGAAUUAUGCAAACACCAUAACUGCAAACAGACAGUUUUGGUUAAAUUUAAAAAAUAGAGAAGGUAUAUUAAACAAGAAAAAUGAAAAGAACCUACCAGUGAGUUCUACUCACAGGAGACCGUACAAAAAUAAAAAGAACCAAAAGACAAAAGAAUAAUGGACUGGUGGGCGAGGCCAAUAAAGGGCUAAUGGAAUAAAUGGCCUUAAUACUGAGCCCUAAAAUAAAACAACACUCCCAAGCUCACAGCCCAGGCUUAUAGCCUGUGACGUGAGCGUUAGCGUAUGCUCUCUUGAGCUUGUGUAUGUGAGCCUGUGACGGAAGGUAUUAGACUGUGCAUUAGCCUGUGACUUAGUGUCUU